GAGUGGCGGACGGGUGAGUAACACGUGGGGAACCUGCCUGUAAGCGGGGGAUAGCUCCGGGAAACCGGAAUUAAUCCCGCAUGUGUUUUUUCUAUCGCAUGAGAGAAAAAACAAACCCGGCACUCAAUUUUGUUGAGUGCCGGGACUUACAGAAGGCCCCGCGGCGCAUUAGCUGGUUGGUGAGGUAAGGGCUCACCAAGGCGACGAUGCGUAGCCGACCUGAGAGGGUGGACGGCCACACUGGGACUGAGACACGGCCCAGACUCCUACGGGAGGCAGCAGUAGGGAAUCAUCCGCAAUGGGGGAAACCCUGACGGUGCAACGCCGCGUGAGCGAGGAAGGUUUUCGGAUCGUAAAGCUCUGUUGUGGAGGAAGAACGACCUUCAGAGGAAAUGCUGAGGGAGUGACGGUACUUCACGAGGAAGCCCCGGCUAACUACGUGCCAGCAGCCGCGGUAAUACGUAGGGGGCGAGCGUUGUCCGGAAUGAUUGGGCGUAAAGGGCACGCAGGCGGCUUUUUAAGUCUGAUGUGAAAGGCCCCGGCUUAACCGGGGAGGUGCAUUGGAAACUGAAGAGCUUGAGUCCAGGAGAGGGGAGUGGAAUUCCACGUGUAGCGGUGAAAUGCGUAGAGAUGUGGAGGAACACCAGUGGCGAAAGCGGCUCUCUGGCCUGAGACUGACGCUGAGGUGCGAAAGCGUGGGGAGCGAACAGGAUUAGAUACCCUGGUAGUCCACGCCGUAAACGAUGAGUGCUAGGUGUUAGGGGGGAUGACCCCUUAGUGCUGGAGGAAACCCAAUAAGCACUCCGCCUGGGAGUACGGCCGCAAAGGCUGAAACUCAAAGGAAUUGACGGGGGCCCGCACAAGCAGUGGAGCAUGUGGUUUAAUUCGAAGCAACGCGAAGAACCUUACCAAGUCUUGACAUCCUCCUGACGUCUCUGGAGACAGAGGUUACCCUUCGGGGACAGGAGAGACAGGUGGUGCAUGGUUGUCGUCAGCUCGUGUCGUGAGAUGUUGGGUUAAGUCCCGCAACGAGCGCAACCCUUAGAUUUAGUUGCCAGCAUUGAGUUGGGCACUCUAGAUCGACUGCCGCAGACAAUGCGGAGGAAGGCGGGGAUGACGUCAAAUCAUCAUGCCCCUGAUGACUUGGGCGACACACGUGCUACAAUGGGCGGUACAGAGGGUAGCGAAAUGGUGACAUGGAGCCAAUCCCAAAAAGCCGCUCUCAGUUCGGAUUGCAGGCUGCAACCCGCCUGCAUGAAGGAGGAAUUGCUAGUAAUCGCGGAUCAGCAUGCCGCGGUGAAUCCGUUCCCGGGCCUUGUACACACCGCCCGUCACACCACGAGAGUGGGCAACACCCGAAGCCGG
rnacentral:rRNA from 1 species